ACAAAAUUGUUAUAUUGCUGCACAUCGCGCAAGGCCAUUUCGAAAUCUGGAAGCCAGCAACCGUCGUAGUUUGUUUGCCACCUUCAAAAUAACUGCUGACAUGUCACGUAAGCGCUUCCUGAACUAGCCCAAUAUAAGCCGACCGUUCGACUUGUUUUUCUUCAUUCGAUAACAAACAUCAACAACACCAACUACAACUCAAGAGUUAUUUCACAGUAUUACCGACAAACAUGACUGGUAAAUUACUGAUUGUCUUCUGUCUUAUGGCGUCGUCAACGCGAUCACAACCUAUGGGUCCGAGAGUCCUGGGAGAUAUUGUCGAAAUGCAAGUUGCUGCUCCGGCGUCCACAGUCCCGGCAGAUACUUACAGAUUCGAAAUUGUUAGAGAGGAACCAAGAGAGGACCCCAUUCAAUUCUUAAAUAUGUGCAACCUUUUCCGAAAGUACUUGUAUGUGCCAUUUGGAACCACUAUUUUUGGCAAUCCUUAGAAAUCGUUGCGUAAGGACGUUUGUGUAAGAUUGAAAGAAAAAAACGACCUCUAGAGAGAGGUUCACACUUUGAUGCUUUUUGAACGGAAGUAUCUUGAUCGGAUGUAGCCCCGCAUGAUGAUGCAAAGCCUUAUCAGCAUCGUCGAUAUUGGGAAAGGGAUCCGAUUUUGGUGUUGGAAAACCUUAAUUUAACUUGGAGUUUUGUGCAGUUGAAUCAAUUCCUGUACAAAAUGUACCAUUUACUCUCAUGAUACUGUCUUUUGUUGUUCACCGGCUUUCCACUUGUUUUUCUAAUUUUUUCUAUGUUUGAUUUGGAACCGGCGAUACCAAUAAAUGUGUCAAACAUA